rnacentral:misc_RNA from 1 species
GAAAAACAGUUUCAAAACAUGCAACCAAAAACCCACCCCUACACUGAGGACUUUGUAUCGAAAGGAGUAACCAAAAAAAUACAGCCAAAUAAUAUCCAGAAUAAACAAGAAAAACCAUAAUUAACAAUACCAGCGCAAAGGUUCUGAUAAACAAGUUAGAUGUCCAACAAAUUCCAAACUGAACCAAAAUGCAACCCAACAAUAUCUGAUAGUCAAACACUUGAGUCUAACAAUGUCUUUUAAGAGAAAUCAGAUUUUCUGGGUGAAGAAAAUCCAGAAUUAAAAGCACACUAGAAAAGAACAAAUAAUUGAUGGCGACGAGCAUGGGAUAUCGUAAGAACUCAAGAAACCAGACCAUCAUUUAGUGACAAUGAAGCCAACUGAUCAGCAGCAUUACUGGCCUGCUGCUGAGGAACAUUCCUCAGAACAUCCAUCGCCUCUGCAACCUUGGCUUUCAGAGCAUCAGGAGACUCAAGCAAGUGCAAUACCUCUGUCUGAUCCAUCUCCAAAAGCAUG